rnacentral:tRNA from 1 species
GGGUGAUUAGCUCAGUUGGUAGAGCAGCUGACUCUUAAUCAGCGGGUCCACGGUUCGAGCCCGUGAUCAC